GUGGGAUUAGAAACACUGGCUUCCAGCUGCUCAUGCUCCUGCUCACCAACUUGGGGACCAAAGCCAUUAAAUGUCUCCCAGAAAAUUGCUCUGAAGGAGGGCAUUUUGCUCUACUUCUGUCUAUAGUGCACAAGUGGGAUCUUGAGAGAUGGUCCCCUCUGCAGAGAGCCUGUCCGUAGUGUCAGAAUCUGGGUCCUAGCACACCUACUCAUCAUCCCUUCUGAGACCUGCAACAAUGAUAACGGAUAAACUCUGGAAGCUUUAUUUCAUCACCACCCAACACCUUCAGUGGACAAAAACUCCAACCUAGACAACAGCCUGGCUAAUAAAUUAGCCAUCUGAAA